UACUCAUAAACCUGUAUAUAUGAAAUACAUGAAAUAUUUUCACCUUAAAAAUUGAAAAAAAAAUAAGUCUUCUUUUCCUACUGAAUAUUACUAACAUAAAAAUCACACAUCUAUGGGUCUAUUUUUGUACUCUCAAUUCUACUCUAUUGGUCUUAAGUCUAUAUUUAUGCUAAUUACCACAGUCUACUUUUUACUGUAGCUUUGUAAUAAGGUAGUAAUUUCUGAAAUAGAAAAGUUUGAGCUUCCAACUAUGUUGUUUUUAAAUGUCAUUAUAUCAAUUGUGGUUCUCUUAAAAAUUUAUUUUUUCGUAUGAAUUUAAGAGUGUGCUUGUGCAUUGUUGAAAUUGUGGAACACAGUAUGGAAAUUUCUUUAAAAACCAGGAAUAGUUUUGCCAUAUGAUCCAGAAAUCCUAUUACUGGGUAUAUACCCAAAGGACAUAAACAUGUUGUAUCAAGGAGAUACAUGCACCAUCAUGUUUAUAGCAGUACUGCUAACAAUAGCCACAAUAUGGAGAGGAAGAGAGAGUGGGAUGGACGGGGAAGGGUGGGAAGGAGGAAGAGAAUACCAUUAUAUUCUUAGAAUUGUAUCUAUGAACUAUAUUGAAUGUGUUCUCUUUGUAUUAAAAUCACAUUAAAAUGAAAAAACAAAGUAUCAGGUGGUACCAAAAAAUAAGAAAAGAAAGGGAUAAUGGCUGGCCCUUCAUGCAUACCUCCAACAGAUCUGUGGCCAUCCCAUAAAUGUGGAGUGGCUCAGUGUUCACAUGUUAUUUAUCCAAUGUGAGUUCAGGAUAUGUGUAUGUAUGUGUGUGUAGGGGCAGGUUUCAUGGCUUUUCAGGAAGACAGAGCUGAAAAGCAUCAUCUAUAUUGGAGGAAUCAAAAACUAUUUGCAACUAUAAUAUACACUAUUAAUAAAUAAUCUUAUGGUCACUUUAAGUCAUACACACUUCAUGUCAGAAAUUUAAAUGUCUGCUUGAAGAUAGUAAUCACGUAAAGUCUUAAUUGCUAAGCCAGAUGUCUGCCCCUCCUUAUGAGCCUCUUAAUUGAUUAUAUUAGCCCUGACUCUUAUCUACUUUCUAAGGCAUUGGAAAUAUUAAAUGCUUGCUUACAAAUGUUUUUGAUUUGUGCCCCCUUAGGACAAAAAUUUAGCACUGAGUGAGCUCUGACCCAGGUCACAGAGAGCUAAAUCAUUCAUGUGGGGUCUUUCAGGGAGCAAUUUGACAGGUUGAAUCAAUCAAAUGAAGUUAGUUAAACAGCCAUUUGCAGAGUGAUUAAAGAAAAAAAAAAUGAUCCAAGAAGGAGGACUGCUGUGAAUUGAUCUUAAUCAACAAGGCAGCAGAGGUAGCUCUUGGAGGUGAGAGGCAGUAGGCAUUAUAUGUUUCCUGUCUCCCAACCUCACUGAUAAUGGGAUAUUACAAGAAAGUAAUUAUCAUAUCAAACUCUUAUAUUAUUUGUGUAUUCGUUAUUGAAUAGUCACAAAGACUUUCAUGCCUACAGUAUGACUCCUCACUCUGUGACCUCAGAUCCUCCAAAUAUGCCAAACUUGAAUAGUUCCUAUGUUAUGGACCCCAGAUCAGCUACCUUCUGGAUGAGGUGAUAUAAGCAUUUGUAAAGAUAGGAAGACUCAGGUCCCAAACAAGUUCUAAUGAUAACGAUGAAUUGAAAGUGUUAGACAUUUGUAUUUGGCAGGUUUUUAUAUUUGAUUCUUGAAAGGGCAUUGGAGCAUAUAAAAUAUUGCUAGCCAAAAACAGCCCUUGCACAUCAUUUACUUUCACCAGUGAGGUUAAAUCAAUAUUUCUUUUGUAAAUCAACACCUUGUAGGAUUUCAGUAGGUUUAGAAUAAAUACUUGCAAUACAGCAUAGUCACCUUGGAAUGUGGAUUUUUUAACUUUUUUAUUUUAAAAUACUUGAUUAACAAAUUAAAAUUGUAUAUACUUAAAAUGUAUAACAUGACAGAAAGUGGAUUAUUGAUUGUAGUACUCUAAGUACUAACUGUUCCUAUGAAGCAAAUUAAAAUUAAUUCACACACAUAAAUAUGCACAGUGCAUAUAUUCAAAUACACAUCCACAUACAAUAUCCUUUGUAUGGAAGCAUUUUAAAAUAAAUUGCCAGGGCUGGCACUGUGGCAUAGCAGGUAAAGCCACCACCUGCAGUGCCAGUAUACCAUAUGGGCACCAGUUCGAGACCCAGCUGCUCCACUUCCGAUCCGGCUUUCUGCUAUGGCCUGGGAAAGCAGUGGACAUUUGGAGAGAGAACCAGCAGAUGGAAGACCUCUCUCUCUCUCUCUGCCUUUCCUUCUCUCUCUGUGUAACUCUGCCUUUCAAAUAAAUAAAUAAACCUUAAAAAAAUAAAUUGCCAUACAGAAAUUAUAACAAGGAAACAAGUCAUAUUUUACUAAACCUUUGUCAUCUAGACUCCUUUAUUGCAUUACCUUCUAUGCCCCAAGAAAAACAAACAUUUCAUCUUCCCUGAAUCCCUAACCCAUUGUACCCCAGAGCAAUGUAGUUUUCUGAAUGCACUCUACUGGCAGGUCUUCUCCAUUGACAUUGAGAUUGUUUUGUCACAAAAAAAUUAUAAUUGAAAUAAAAUUCUUUUUAAGUGCUUCCUGUGAUUUGUUUGUCAUUCCUUCUAUUCUUUUGAUUUUUCAUAUCUAGGAGGAAUUGGGGUGGGAGGGUAGAACAUGAGUGUGAGUCAGUAGAAGUAGCUACCAUUUGACUGUGUAGAAUCACAAAUAAGUAGAUACACACUUUGGUUCUUGCCUCUCUCCAUUCCUUUUCACCUCAACUUCAUCAAAGGUUUUGAUUAUGCAAGAGGUUGGGCUGGCAUUAAACACAGAAAUAAGAAAAGUAUGGAGCAAAUUAAAAUCUUUUUCCAUUACUGAGGCACAAAUAUAAAAAUGAGCAUGCUGUUAUGAAGACUACAUUUCUCUACCAAAUAGAAUGUCUUUUCAUUUUUGAAAGAUUUAUUUAUUUAUUUGAGAGGCAGACUUUUAGUGAGAGAGAGACUGAGAGAGAGAUCUUCUACCCACUGGUUCAAUCUCCAAAUGGUCACAAUAGCCAGUUCAGGGCCAGGCCGAAGUCAAGAGCCAGAAACUUCAUCCAGGUCUCCCACAUGAGCUCAGGGUCCCAAACAUUUGGGCCACCUUCCACUGCUUUUUCCCAGGCCCAUUUAGCAGGGAGCUGGAUUGGAAAUAGAGCAGCUGGGACUGGAACCAGCACUCAUGUGGGAUGCCAGAGUUGCAGGCUAUAUCUUUAACCUGCUGAGUCACAGUGCUGGCCCCACAGAAUGUCUUUUCUUACACCAGUCCUCUAAAAAUGAGAUUCCAGGAAGAUCUUUUGACUUUUGUAGUUGUGAGUUUUUUGGAAUAGUCAGAAGGCUUCCAUGGAAAGAGUAGAGUGGCAGACAUCACAGUGAUUCUCCUAACAGUUUAUAAAAAACGUCUUUUACUAGACUUUGUGUAUCUUUGGAGACAGAAAUUGAAUCUUACUUUUGUAUCUCCACCUUUGAAUAGUUAAUAGAUGCUCAAAAAUGUACAUUGAACAAAAAAGAAAUGAGUAAAUAACAAACCAAUAAAAGAAAUAAGCCAGCAGCUCAAAGAAAUGAAAGGAAAACAGAAUCCUAGAAAAGCCAAAAGAGAUAAUUCAACUCUUUGACCAGCAGAGGGUAGAUUAAGCCUAUUUCUUUUUUCUUGAAAUAACAAGAUGAAAAUAUUUUUACUUUUUCCUUUAGUAACUUGUCUAAAUAUUCUGGAAACUUCCUAGAAUCAAAAAAUUGGUCUCAGAAGAAUAUCUGUAAAGUGAUUUUGGUUAGAUAUAUAAGUGAGAAUUUAUCAUAUCCCUCUUUGAUAUUCUAAACAAUUAGAAUGAAGAGUGACUUGAGGCAAGUAUGAGAGUGAGGGGUGACUGUGUACACACUGACUGUUACAGGCAGAUGUGAUGACUGAGCACAGACCUUGAAGAAGGAAGAAGCGGUUAGAUUUCCAACUGGGGAAGGACUUGGUAUUUAUUGAGUGAAGUGAAAAGGCUUUGUGGAAUUUCACUGAAGGAAUGUAAUAAUUGGGGCUACUGUGAUAUCAGAAUGGAGACAGAGAAUUAACUUUAGUAACCAGUCCAUUAGGGCACAUGAGAAAUUUUCAGUUUGAGGAGAAAGAAAACAGGUUAAAAAAGAUAAUCUCAGGAAAUGAUAAACAUAGAAAACAACGGUGAUGUGAUGUGAUAAAGGCUCAGGAAUGAGGUGCUACUUUCUCUACUUUAGAUAAAGUCUUUCUUAGGAGGUGACAUUUUAGCUUAGAUCUGAAGAUGAGAAAAUGUGGUUAUAUGCAUAAAUAUCGGUGGAAGAUUCUUGAACAAAGAAUAGCAAGGAGGGCACUGCUCAAACAGAUGCCCCAAUGGUAUGGUCUUUUAAUGUCGUUGAAAUGUGGGAGGUAUAUGGUAUAAUUGAAGGGUACAAUCUUCAGAACCAGGUUAUUUAUCCUGCAAUUCCCAAUUUGCCUCUAAUCAGUGGUAUUGCCUAAGAUCAGUCACUAAACCACUCUGGCCUUUGCUUUCUUCAUUUGAAAAUGGGAAAUAUGAAAUCUAGUGGACAGUGCUGUUGUGACAAUUAGAUGAGGGAAAUCACAUAAAGCAGCCAGUAGUUCUCCUGAUGUAUGUUUUGGAUUUGAUGCAUGUUACUCCUUUCUUAAAAUAAGGAAAAAUAUGGGGCAGAUUUUUGGCACAGCAGUUAUGAGGCCACUUGGGAAAUUUGUAUCCCAAAUCAGAGUUCUUGGGUUUGAGUACUGACUCUGCUUCCAAUCCAGUUUCCUGCUAAUGCACAUCUUGAGAGGCAGUGUGUGAUGGUUCAAGUGGUUAUAUUCUUGACACUCAAGUAGGGGGCUCAGAGUGAGUUCUAGGCUUCUACCUUUGGCCAGCGAAGCCCAGUUGAGUUAGGGGAAUGAACCCACAGAUGUAAGAUCUCAUUCUCUCUCUCUCUCUCUUUCUCUCUAAUAGUUAAAACAUUUUUUAAAGAUUUAUUUAUUUGAAAGGCAGUGUUACAGAGAGGCAGAGGCAGAGAGAGAAAAAGAGAAAGAGAGAGAGAAAGUGAGAGAGAUCUUCCAUCACUGGUUCACUCCCCAGAUGGCCACAAUAGCCAGCACUGUGCUGAUCCAAAGACAGGAGGAGCCAGGAGCUUCUUUUGGGACUCCUACAGGGGUGCAGGGGCCUAAGGACUUGGGCCAUCUUCUACUGCUUUCCCAGGCCAUAGCGAAGAGAUAGAUCAGAAGUGGGGCAGCCGGACCCAGAACCGGCGCCCAUCUGGGAUGCCAGUGCCAGAGGCAGCAGCUUUACCUGUUUUGCACAGUGCCAGCCCCUAAACCAUUUAAAAAAUAAAAUAAAAACUAAAUGCUUAUUUCUUUAAAGAAUAACAAUAAAAUGAGACAAAGGAAAAUGUCAUUUAGCUGCAUAAGGUAAAGAUGCCUUUUUUUUU